rnacentral:tRNA from 1 species
GCGGCGUUGGUCUAGCGGUAGGAUUUAGGCUUCCCAAGCCUGAUGCGCGGGUUCGAUUCCCGCACGCCGCACCA